AUCAAACUGUAUUUAGCUGUGUGUCGCUUCCUCUGUCUCCGCUUCCUCUGUCUCCGCUUCCUCCUCCUUCUCCGCUUCUUCUGUCUCCGCUUCUUCUGUCUCCGCUUCUUCUGUCUCCGCUUCUUCUGUCUCUGCUUCCUCUGUCUCUGCUUCCUCUGUCUCUUCCCUCUCCGCUUCCUCCGUCUCCGCUUCCUCCGUCUCCGCUUCCUCCGUCUCCGCUUCUUCCGUCUCCGCUUCUUCCGUCUCCGCUUCCUCCGUCUCCGCUUCCUCCGUCUCCGCUUCUUCCGUCUCCGCUUCUUCCGUCUCCGCUUCUUCCGUCUCCGCUUCUUCCGUCUCCGCUUCCUCCGUCUCCGCUUCCUCCGUCUCCGCUUCUUCCGUCUCCGCUUCUUCCGUCUCCGCUUCUUCCGUCUCGGCUUCCUCCGUCUCCGCUUCCUCUGUCUCCGCUUCUUCUGUCUCCGCUUCUUCUGUCUCUGCUUCCUCUGUCUCUGCUUCCUCUGUCUCUGCUUCCUCGGUCUCUGCUUCCUCUGUCUCCUCCCUCUCCGCUUCCUCUGUCUCCGCUUCUUCUGUCUCCGCUUCUUCUGUCUCCGCUUCCUCUGUCUCCGCUUCCUCUGUCUCCGCUUCCUCUGUCUCCGCUUCUUCUGUCUCCACUUCCUCUGUCUCCGCUUCCUCAUCCUUUUCCGCUUCCUCUGUCUCUGCUUCCUCUGUCUCCGCUUCCUCUGUCUCCGCUUCCUCUGUCUCCGCUUCUUCUGUCUCCACUUCCUCUGUCUCCGCUUCCUCAUCCUUUUCCGCUUCCUCUGUCUCCGCUUCCUCUGUCUCCGCUUCCUCUGUCUCCGCUUCCUCUGUCUCCGCUUCCUCCUCCGUCUCCGCUUCCUCCUCCUUCUCCGCUUCCUCUGUCUCUGCUUCCUCUGUCUCUGCUUCCUCUGUCUCCUCCCUCUUCGCUUCCUCUGUCUCCGCUUCUUCUGUCUCCGCUUCUUCUGUCUCCGCUUCCUCUGUCUCCGCUUCCUCCCUCUCUGCUUCUUUCUCUUUCUUCGCUUCCUCCCUCUCCACUUAAUCCUUCUCCGCUUCCUCCCUCUCCGCUUCCUCCUUCUCCGCUUCCUCCCUCUCUGCUUCUUUCUCUUUCUUCGCUUCCUCUGUCUCCGCUUCCUCUGUCUCCGCUUCCUCUGUCUCCGCUUCCUCUGUCUCCGCUUCUGUCUCCGCUUCCUCUGUCUCCGCUUCCUCUGUCUCCGCUUCUUCUGUCUCCGCUUCCUCUGUCUCCGCUUCCUCCCUCUCUGCUUCUUUCUCUUUCUUUGCUUCCUCCCUCUCCACUUAAUCCUUCUCCGCUUCCUCUGUCUCCGCUUCUUCUGUCUCCGCUUCUUCUGUCUCCGCUUCCUCUGUCUCCGCUUCUUCUGUCUCCGCUUCCUCUGUCUCCGCUUCUUCUGUCUCCGCUUCUUCCGUCUCCGCUUCCUCUGUCUCCGCUUCUUCUGUCUCCGCUUCCUCUGUCUCCGCUUCCUCUGUCUCCGCUUCCUCUGUCUCCGCUUCUUCUGUCUCCGCUUGCUCUGUCUCCGCUUCCUCUGUCUCCGCUUCUUCUGUCUCCGCUUCUUCUGUCUCUGCUUCCUCUGUCUCUGCUUCCUCUGUCUCUGCUUCCUCGGUCUCUGCUUCCUCUGUCUCCUCCCUCUCCGCUUCCUCUGUCUCCGCUUCUUCUGUCUCCGCUUCUUCUGUCUCCGCUUCCUCUGUCUCCGCUUCCUCUGUCUCCGCUUCCUCUGUCUCCGCUUCUUCUGUCUCCACUUCCUCUGUCUCCGCUUCCUCAUCCUUUUCCGCUUCCUCUGUCUCUGCUUCCUCUGUCUCCGCUUCCUCUGUCUCCGCUUCCUCUGUCUCCGCUUCUUCUGUCUCCACUUCCUCUGUCUCCGCUUCCUCAUCCUUUUCCGCUUCCUCUGUCUCCGCUUCCUCUGUCUCCGCUUCCUCUGUCUCCGCUUCCUCUGUCUCCGCUUCCUCCUCCGUCUCCGCUUCCUCCUCCUUCUCCGCUUCCUCUGUCUCUGCUUCCUCUGUCUCUGCUUCCUCUGUCUCCUCCCUCUUCGCUUCCUCUGUCUCCGCUUCUUCUGUCUCCGCUUCUUCUGUCUCCGCUUCCUCUGUCUCCGCUUCCUCCCUCUCUGCUUCUUUCUCUUUCUUCGCUUCCUCCCUCUCCACUUAAUCCUUCUCCGCUUCCUCCCUCUCCGCUUCCUCCUUCUCCGCUUCCUCCCUCUCUGCUUCUUUCUCUUUCUUCGCUUCCUCUGUCUCCGCUUCCUCUGUCUCCGCUUCCUCUGUCUCCGCUUCCUCUGUCUCCGCUUCUGUCUCCGCUUCCUCUGUCUCCGCUUCCUCUGUCUCCGCUUCUUCUGUCUCCGCUUCCUCUGUCUCCGCUUCCUCCCUCUCUGCUUCUUUCUCUUUCUUUGCUUCCUCCCUCUCCACUUAAUCCUUCUCCGCUUCCUCUGUCUCCGCUUCUUCUGUCUCCGCUUCUUCUGUCUCCGCUUCCUCUGUCUCCGCUUCUUCUGUCUCCGCUUCCUCUGUCUCCGCUUCUUCUGUCUCCGCUUCUUCCGUCUCCGCUUCCUCUGUCUCCGCUUCUUCUGUCUCCGCUUCCUCUGUCUCCGCUUCCUCUGUCUCCGCUUCCUCUGUCUCCGCUUCUUCUGUCUCCGCUUCCUCUGUCUCCGCUUCCUCUGUCUCCGCUUCCUCUGUCUCCGCUUCCUCUGUCUCCGCUUCCUCUGUCUCCGCUUCUUCUGUCUCCGCUUCUUCUGUCUCCGCUUCCUCUGUCUCCGCUUCCUCUGUCUCUGCUUCUUCUGUCUCCGCUUCCUCUGUCUCCGCUUCCUCUGUCUCCGCUUCCUCUGUCUCCACUUCCUCCCUCUCUGCUUCUUUCUCUUUCUUCGCUUCCUCCUUCUCCAGUCUCACAGACUUCAGCACAUCUCUCUCCUUGGAAGACAGGAUGUAAUACCAAGUAGGCAUCACAUAGUCUACAGUGCCUUGCGAAAGUAUUCGGCCCCCUUGAACUUUGCAACCUUUUGCCACAUUUCA
rnacentral:lncRNA from 1 species